ensembl:lncRNA
UGGCAAUGUUGAGAGGUGGAACCUUUGAGAAGCGAUUGGGUCAUGAGGGCUCUGUGUCAUGAAUGGAUUAAUCAUUUCAUGAAUUAAUUGAUUAAUGGGCUAAUGGAUUAAUGGGUUACCAUGGGAGUUGGUUAGUUAUCACAAGGGAGGGUCUGUUAUAAAAGCCAGUUCAGCUCUCUCUUGUGGGCCCCUCUCUCUCUGUGAUGUCUUCUGCCAUCUUGUGAUGCAGCAAGAAGGCCCUCACCAGAUGCCUCAGUGCCAUGCUCUUAGACUUCCCAUCCUCCAGAACUAUGGAGUCUCACUCUGUUGCCCAGGCUGGAGUGCAGUGGCUGAUCUCGGCUGACCGUAACCUCUGCUGCCUGGGCUCAAGCGAUUCUCCUGCCUCAGCCUCCCGAGAGGAAAGAAACAGGAAACGGAGGCCUGGCUGCCCAGGCUGUGACGUCGCCCCUCUGGCAUGCUGUCCGGGCCUGGAAAAAUGCAGCUGGCACUGCCUUGAGGAUUUGGAGGCAGGAGACAGGAGCUAUGUGGUUGCUUGGCCAGCUCCCGAGUACAAUAAACUUAAUCUUGGAAGUCUUACUCUCAAGGGUGAGGAAAGGGUGAAAUGUCGGUAUGUAGACUCUGUCGCCAAGAAGCACCAGGAGACUUGAAAGAAGAAACAAAACCCUUCAGUGAAAAUACCUGUGGAAAAACACUUCUUAAAAACAAACACCGAGAAGCACAACGUGCUUUUUAUGUGCUUGAGAUUUUUUUUUAAACGAGUUCUGGAAAAUGGUCUCUUGAUGUUUACAUAGUUCCCCCUGAAUAAAGGGCAACGGGGAAUUUGGCCUGGCCUGGCUCUCAAGUAGGGGUCCGCAAAUGCAGCCUGAGGGCCUGUGGGUCGCUGCUGGCUUCCGUCUAUGAACGCGGUCCUACUGAACACAGCCGCCCCUCGCGAGCUGUGCCUGCGGCUGCCCUCAUGCUACCACGACAGAGCGGUGGGGGGCGUUGCAGCACACACCUCACAGCACACACACAUCAAAACAGUUACUAUCUGAUCCUUUACAGAACAAGUUGACUGAUCCUUGGUCUAAAACAGGAGAGGCAAGUACUCGCUCACCUCAGUGCCCAUUUCAUGCAGAGCUGCAAGAGCUGUCUGCCCUGCCACAGUGUGGCCACCUAAUUGUCUCUUCUUGGCAGAACACAUGCUUGGCUGGCGGCUGUGGGGAGGGCACUCUGGCUAAAUAAUGCAUCAGCAGGGCUGCCUCUGUUCUUAGUUUUCCUGCAGCCUUUGCUGGGUCAUGCAGUUGGGUUAGAUUUCAGAGGGUCCUGCAGGACCACACCGACUUCUAGUUCCCUGUCUCCUUGUCUGCAGGUUCUGUGAGUGCAGGGCAAGGCCAGCUCAUUUUUGCAUCUAAUUUGUACCAUAGAAUUGGUGCUGAAUAAAUGUAAUUUUUUUUUUUUUGAGACGGAGUUUCGCUCUUGUUGCCCAGGCUGGAGUGAAGUGGCGCCAUCUCGAUUCACUGAAACCUCCACCUCCCAGGUUCAAGCGAUUCUCCUGCCUCUGCUUCCCGAGUAGACGGGAUUACAGGCAUGCACCACCAUGCCUGGCUAAUUUUUGUAUUUUUAGUAGAGAUGGGGUUUUACCAUGUUGGCCAGGCUGGUCUCAAACUCCUGACCUCAGGUGAUCCACCUGUCUUGGCCUCCUAAAGUGCUAGGAUUACAGGUAUGAGCCACUGCGCCUGGCCAAUAAAUGUGAUUUUAAAUAAUAAACAAGUGCACACACACUAGAUUACAUUUUCAGAAUUACCAAGUGAAUGGGCGUCUCAACCCCAUCUGUUGAGACCUUAUCCCACACAGACUGUCCAGAACCUCAACCCAGCCAUGAGCGUUGCGGGGCAGCUACAAAGGUAGCCCUUCUUCAAGCCAAUAUACAUAUUUUUACAUUAUUCCACAUUUUAGUGGGAAGAAAUGAAUUUUCUUUUAGUAAAACUUGGUUUUACUAAAACUCUCAUCCUCUGGGGAUGGGUCGCAGGAAUCCUGCCUUAUUUACAAGCUUCCCAGGUGGUUCUUCUGCGUACUACACUUGGGGAAUAUAUAUAUAUAUGUAUAUAUAUAUUUCUUUCCAUCAAGGGCUUUAUCAGCACAUUGAAUAUAACAGAACAUCUAAACGUGCUGAAUUUGGAAUUGGCUUUCCAUUCACAGUUUUUCUAUCACUUGUGACUAGCUUAUAAUUUAGUCAUUCACGCAAGGAAUUGAAAUAACAAUCUAAUUCAAAAUUGAUUUAAUAACUAUUAAUUAUUUUUCCUGGCUUUCAUUACCCUAAAAACAUGUGUGGUUUUUUUUGUUUGUUUUUUGUUUUUUCUGGAGGCCUUAUUCUCUUGGGUUUUCUUUUGUAAUUUUCUGAACACAAUUUCUUGGCUACAUGUUAAAUACUUCGAAAUUUAUGCAAUAAAACAAAACAAACCAUGCAGUUCCAGGAAACAUCCGUCUACAAUACAUUACUUGGUUUCAGAAUCUCAUUGACCAUGUGGUCAGCAACCUUCAGCAGGCUGGUUUCAAGUUUGGUGAUGGGAACCCAGGGGCCGCCCCUUCAAUAUUUCCCCGACUAAGAAAGACGAGCACAGGCAAGGGGAUCUGUCUUGCUUCCUCUUUAAGGAUUGACUACUAUGGUUGGUAUAGGACAGGCUUAUAUUUAGCCAUUUAUCUAAAGAGCUGUAUGUGGAAACCUGAAUUCGUCAACAUCCCGACUGUGAUGGAUUCCAAUAAGGUUGGAGCACAUCCAUAUUCUCUGUGCAAGACAAGUCUCCUGAGUGUCCCGCCUCCUAAUCCCGCUUAGCUGCCUCACUUCCUUCACAAAGAUCGGGUCAAUUUACAGUCUUAGAGCAACAGAUGACCAAGGAACAAUAAUGAUAGUAAUGAUGGCUCCCAUCAGACCAUGAGCUCCAUCAACAGGGAUAUUUGCCUCUGUUUGCUCACCGCCACACCACACUCCAGGGCCCAGUCCAGCACUGCUACGGCCAAGGGAAGUAGAGUCUGGCUAGCAAUGCAUCAGGGUGCAAUAGACAGGUACCCAAUAAAUACUUGCCAAAUGAGUGAAUUAGCUGAAAGCUUACUGUGGGUAAAGUUCUUUCUGUGUCAUUUCAUUUAACCCUCAUGACCAUUACUGUAAGCAAAGCAUUGCUAUAUCCGUUUAACAGGUGAAAAUUUGAGGUUCUGUGUGCAGUUAAUUGACUUGACCACAUCAUUCAGUUGGUGAAAGGGGCACCCAGUUGAACUCAGGCCUACUUGGCGUCACGACCUUUACUCUUUCCACAAUAGAACUCAGUCCCUGGGGCCAUGCAGUUGGCUCUGUUAGGGAAUGAAUCCUGGUAUUCAGACCGGUCAGGCACGGAACAUGCCUGUGCAGGUAUUGGCUCACCACAAAAUAUUAUUUACCACAAGGGAAUAGGUUAAAGGCUAUUUGUAGGGUAGCAGGAAGCCUAAUCUAUUGCCGGCUGCAGAUAAAGACCAGACAGAACUCUAGCCUAUCACUGGCAAUGAGGGGUGGCUUUGUUUGACUCUGUGUGGGCAGGUUUUUCCAGACAGCAUGAAUAGAUGGGUUGGUAUUGCAGAAAGCAGUGUAUGAGGAUUCUCUAAUCCUACUCUUAAUUUGUCUAGUCAAAUGCAGGUUUUAUAACAGAUGGGCUCUGGCUUAUGGUCCAUGGCCAGACAGGGAGAACUAUGUAUCACAUGUAAUGUAGUCCCGUGUGUGUGCGCUCCAGGUCACACAGCACCAGGUCACAUGUGCUCCAGGUCAGCAUGGCUAAAUAUGAAAGGACACACACCCGGCUGGGCAUGGUGGCUCACGCCUGUAAUCCCAGCACUUUGGGAGGCUGAGGUGGGCGGAUCACCUGAGGUUGGGAGUUCGAGACCAGCCUGGCCAACAUGCUGAAACCCCAUCUCUACUAAAAAUACAAAAAUUAGCCAGGCAUGAUAGUGGGUGCCUAUAAUCCCAGCUACUUGGGAGGCUGAAGCAGGAGAAUCGCUUGAACCUGGGAGGCAGAGGUUGCAGUGAGUGAGAUCGCGCCAUUGCACUCCAGCCUGGGCAACAAGAGCAAAACUCUGUCUCAAAAAAAAGAAAGAAAGAAAGGAUACACACCCUACCCCUAGCAGCCAGCACCAGCCAGCUCCGGGCAACACACCUUAAAGUGGAAUUCAAAGGUGACUAACAUCAGAAUCACUGCUGGGGGCUAAGGGCUGUUAACAAUGAAGACCCUAAUCCAGAUCUGGUAAAUCAGACCCUCUGGGCAUGGGUCACAGGAAUCCUGGCUCGUUUACAAGCUCCCCAAGUGGUUCUUCUGCGUACUAAACCAUAAGAACCACUGUACACGGACUUGGGUAGAAAGAGGAGGUUCAUUUUUCACUUUUAGAUGUAUGCAAUAUUUGGUACUUUUGUAAUUUGAAGAGUAUAGGUCUUAGGGGAGAAAGGAAGGAAGAGAGCAGAAAAGAAAGAAGACGGUAUUGUGAGAAGGCUCUGUGUGGGGUGCUGGGGUACAGGAGCCACAUCCCCUGGACUCUGGAUGGUCCCGUUGGAAUCGUCUGCCUCUUUGUCUCCCUUCACCUGUUUUCCUGCCACAUUCUCUCUCUGUGCCAUCUCAUAGGGCCACCACCACCCAGCAAACACCACAACACCCUCCUCUGCCCUCCCCAUCCUCCUGGAUGCUGGAACUGUCUUGCUUAAGAGACAGACAUUCCAUAUUUCAUGAGCAGCAGAGGAAAGUCAAACCUCCCAAGAAUUGUAUACAAAGUUGCCUUUUUAAUAUGAACAAAUAAAUCCCCGGUCUUUAACUAGUUUCCGGUCGACGUGGCAUGGGGUUUAUUCAGUAUACUCCAUUAUAUAAUAAAGCAUACUCCAUUUUUUUUUGUUUGCUUAUUUAUUUAUUUAUUUUCUGAGACAGAGUCUUGCUGAGCCCCAGGCUGGAGUGCAGUGGUGUGAUCUCGGCUCACUGCAACUUCCACCUCCCAGGUUCAAGUGAUUCUCCUGUCUCAGCCUCUCGAGUAGCUGGGAUUACAGGCACGCGCCACCAGGCUCAGCUAAUUUUUGUAUUUUUAGUAGAGAUGGGGUUUCACCAUAUUGGCCAGUCUGGUCUCGAACUCUUUACCUCAUGAUCCGUCCGCCUCAGCCUCCCAAAGUGCUGGGAUUACAGGCAUAAGCCAUCAUGCUCGGCCUGCUUUUAUUUUUUUAAAGUGACAUUCUCUCACCUCAAAACACAGAAACUUUCUGAGGAAGACAUUACGUUCUAAAAUACUUUGGUUUUCACUGUCCGAGUCUUUAAAAUGAAGCCAUUCGGCCGGGCGCGGUGGCUCAAGCCUGUAAUCCCAGCACUUUGGGAGGCUGAGACGGGCGGAUCACGAGGUCAGGAGAUCGAGACCAUCCUGGCUAACACGGUGAAACCCCGUCUCUACUAAGAAAUACAAAAAACUAGCCGGGCGAGGUGGCGGGCGCCUGUAGUCCCAGCUACACGGGAGGCUGAGGCCGGAGAAUGGCGUGAACCCGGGAGGCGGAGCUUG